UUAUCGCGAUAGGCGGCGACGUGAGCGCUUCACGAGCGCCACUUCACGAUGCGAGCGCCGCUUCGCGAACGGUGGAGCGUCACUUCAUCUCUCUUGGCGUGCUCUGUGCUCUUGGCAGUUUCAAGAUGGCCGCCGAUGUCAACAUUCGCGCGGGCUGUGUCAAGUGUUACGCAAAAUGUAUAUCGUUUCGUGUGUUCAUCGUGAAUUUUCUUCGGGAAUUUAUUCACAAGUGCCCAAUAAUCUGAAGAUCAAGGCUUCAAUUCCAGGGAUGAAUAUCUUUCGUGAAAUGCUGCCGAAGCCUCGAUCUUUUCGGUCACGCGAUCCUGAGAACACCGCAUCAAUUAGCGCGAAAACUUUUCAUCCGUCAAUGUUUCGUGCAGCACGAUUUUCCGACACUUUGGCAGCGGUGAUACGAGCUCCAUAAAAAGAAAUUAAAUGACAGUGAGAAGAAAAGAGAAGCGGAGAGUGAGGAAGAGAAGGGGAGAGAUAGAGAGACGAUAAUGGAUACGGAGGAAAAUCCGGAGAGAGGAAAUCCAUAAGAGACGAGUUCAGUGACGACGCGGAUGCUUCGGGGUGCUCCAUAGUCGCUAGACGAGCAAAGAUGGAAGUACGAACGGAACGUCCUCGAACAGCGGGGCGAAUAGCGCCUACGGGACGUGUUACGCCGACCGUUAACCAAAGUAUGCCCGGGGGUGGAAGGCGAAAGGCUAUACCGGUACCACCACCGAGGGUGCCAACCCCUAUGCCCACUGCGAACAACAAUCAGCAAAGGAACAAUGCCAAUAACGUUGCACCACCUCCAGCGAUGCCGAUACAAAGGAAAGAAUCGCAUGGAAAUAUCGCGAAAAUUGCGAAGCGAUAUCUCGAUGACAACAUGCAGCAGGCGUGGAUAAAUCCUCGACUCAUAUCGAUGAUAAAUAUGGAAGCCGUGACAUCGACGGAUUACGAUUCGACGAAUUUGAGUCGUAAUUUCAACCAGGUUGGCUUCAACACUUACAAUUAUUCUCAAUUCGAGGAAAAGUACAAGCCGCGCCAGUCGAUGAAGUACGGCGAAGAUUAUCAGGAUCACGGUAGAGCAGCUACGAGAAAUCCUGUUAACUCACGGACGUCGUCGCGCCAUACGCAAGAACAAAAUGUCCAUAAGAGCGAGCGUAGCCAUUCGCAGCCUGAGAGACAGCAUCAAUCUUCCUUCGAGGCACGAUCGAAAUCUCAAGAUUCAAGAGAAUUGACAUUCUAUCAGAUCGAUCCUCCCCUCAAGCAUGAAAAUAGACAUGCCAAGUCGCACCGUACUUCGGUCGACAAAGUUCACAAUAAAGCCAAAGAAUUGACGUUUUACGAUAUCGACGGCCCAGGAAAUUUCACUGACAAAUCAAAAGACCAGAAAAAUAAUAGCUGCAGCGAGAAACUCGAGAAAAAGGAUAAAUCCAGUGCUGCUGUUGGCUCGAAACAUGCCCACGGAAAAAAUUCACACCAAGAACAAAAGACUAACGUAAACAACGUUGGCCAAUCAAACAGAUUGCAGGCUGAUGUUCUUGAAAAUUCUCAUCGACAACAAUGCAAUGUUCUCGUCGACCCACCGAAGUACAGACAGUACGAUAGGCCGCCUCGAUAUCAAGAGGAUCCUCCGAAAAGUGAACCUCCACCGAAGUAUCAUCAAGAUCCCCCAAAAUAUUCUGAAGUAACCAACAAAAGACAGGACGAGUCUAAACGGAGUCAGGAGGAGAAGGGCAGACGACAAGCAGGGGGAAAUCAUGGGGGAGUGGUGAGCGGGGUCGUCGCCGUUGGUGGUGGUGGUGGUGGUGGAGCUCACGGUACGGAGGCGCUCGCUAAUGUCGCCAGUAUCACGCCGACCGCGCGAGAAUCAACACGUGGAGGGGUUACGACGCGCCAGCGUCAAAUGCACAAGCAAACAGGGUGCGAGGUUCGUUUGACAAGCAAGAAUGACGAUUACAACAACGACGAUGACGUCGAGACGUUGAAGCACAGCGAUAACACGAGCAGUGCUAAGGUGGCGAGCUCGAAUAAUCAGUCGAACAACGUUGCUAAUCGUGCUACCAAUUUCGGUACAAACGGUGUCGUUAACAGUUACGGUAGUGCGGGUAUUAUUCUGGGUGUUUCGCUGGGUGGUGUUAUAUGUCCCGAAGUCAACAAUACCCGUGGUGCCGAUGUCAAAUUUCCGAUUCUCCGUUCGAGCGACAGAUCGAUGAUUAAAUUCGAAAAAUCAAAGAAUUCCGUCCACUCGUUUCACGACGUGAUCUCGGUGGGCAACAAAUUCGCUGACAAAAUGAAAUCCGUGCAAGAAGCAAUCGUCUACAAGCACCACGAGGCUGUGCCUAAACUGAAGCACGAAUCGAGCGUCGUCAACAAUCACGUGGGCUACAAAGUCGAAAAUCUCAAGUACUACGGUGAACUGAAGGGUUACGAUUUCAAGUCUUACGGCACCAUCGAUAAACCCCAAUCGGCAAACCCGACCAGUGAAAAAUCCCAUCAGUACGCUACACCUGACAAAGUCGCUCAUCAAAAUAGCCAUGAAAAAUCACACGCGCGCAACUCCCAGUCGUACGGUGCCGGGAAAGUGUCUCAGGCCUCUGAUAAAAGUGUUUACAGUGAGAAAUACGGUGAUCAUUACUAUCACAGAUCGUCACACGUCAAACCGGCCAACGCGUUUCAGGUUUACCAGGAGACCAAAUACUCGUACAACGUUAAUGGAGUUCCCGGUACACCGGCCCAGGCCAGCGCAGCCGCAGCUUUCUUCGCGAGAGCUGCUCAAAAGUUAAAUCUCUCGUCGAGUCCUCACAGAAGACGUCGCUCCGGUGACGACAACAUUGCUCCGGACGAACAUCCUAUUUUCCCUAAUGGAUACGCGGCCCUCUUAUUAAAAUCCCCGCCCCCUGCACCACCUGCUCUGCUCAGAAGAAUCGGAGUCAAAGAACUCACCGGUGUUGGCAAGGUGAAAGUCAUGCUCAGGGUGUCAUCCGGUGAAGGCGGUAGUUUCUUCAAUGCGGACAAGCGCAAGAAGCAGGUGACCCUAGUUGACCCCUCUUCGGGUCAAACGUCGACAGCCGAAGAUCGAAGACCCACCGUUGCCGCACCCAAGAUGUUCGCCUUCGAUGCCAUUUUCACCGAGGAAGAUUCUCAGACUGAAAUCUGCUCGAGUGCCCUCACCGAUGUCAUCCACGCUGUGAUCAACGGAACCGAUGGAUGUCUAUUCUGUUUCGGUCAUGCGGGUCUUGGAAAAUCUCAUACGAUGCUUGGCACCCCGGAAGCUGGUCACACCCUCGGGGCAAUUCCCUGUGCGAUAGCUUGGCUAUUUCGUGGAAUUUCGGAGCAAAGACAACGAACCGGGGCCAGAUUCAGCGUGAGGGUCAGUUGUGUAGAACUGACUACUGGCCAGCAACAGUUGAGGGAUCUUCUCACAGCCCACGCAAAUGACUCGGAACAGUCACCUGCCGUUUAUCUGAGGGACGAUCCACUGUUCGGCACACUCCAGCUACAGCAGCACAGCGAACUGAGAGCUCCGACUGCUGAGCGUGCAGCGUUCUAUCUGGAUGCUGCAGUGGCCGGACGUCAACGCGAAGACGGUGAUGCCCACAUGCUGUACACCCUUCACGUUUAUCAGUACAGCGUAGCUGGCAAGGGUGGAGUUGCUGGCGGAAGGAGCAGGCUUCAUCUGAUGGAUCUUGGCAAUUCGGAUCGCGGUAAAGCCUCGGGUGGGAUCCCCUUAUCUGGCUUGGGCAAUAUUCUUCUUGCUAUAUUCAACGGCCAGAAACAUUUGCCUUACAAAGAGCACAAGUUGACACAAUUGCUGAAGGAAUGCCUCGGCUCGCUGACCUGCCACGCGGCUAUGAUCGCCCAUGUUUCGCCCAACACUCAACACUACACGGAGACUUUGACGACGGUGCAAUUAGCCUCGAGGAUACACAGGAUGCGACGACGGAAAAUAAAAUUCGUCGGUGGGGGAACUCAGGGCACCGGGAGCGGCGGAAGUUCCGGUGAAGAAGCUGCGGCGAGACAAACGAGCGAGUGCGAUCCAAGCUCGAGCGAUCUGUCGGCUGACACUGUGAUAUACGUUGGCCCUGGCGCCGAUGACGCCACCGACGGUGAGCAUCCACCGGUUUACCUGCCAAGCUUGAAUUCCGGUGAUCAACGUUGCGCCAUGGGACGGGUAUUGCGCGGCUCGGCGGCCGAACGGCCUAGCAAAAUACCCGAGGAACGAAGUCCAGCUCACAAAGCUGCGAAGGUCGUAAAAGCUCUGACGCAAACGGCAUCGAAGCAGACAUCACCGGCUCACAGUGCCACGCCGAAAGCAAGUCCAGCGAGGAAAGCUAGCGCCAGUGGGAAGACUUCGUCGAAUGCCAAAAUUUCGGACUCACCCACGAGCAAAAUACCCGUUGUUGCAGCGGCUGGCGGAUGCUCCGACGAGCAGUGGAUAGACGGUCCAAGAAUUUCGAAAUCCAAAGUAGCCGAGGCCAGGCACAUGCUCAAAGAGGCUCAUCACAAGAGGGAAACUUGGAUAGACGGUCCGAUGCAAGUGACCGGCCCACCUUUGCUUCACACUCAGCAACACUCCUCCGGUUACGGGUUCAUGGAUAACCACAAGAAAAUCAUGAUCAGAAAGUGGGUGGAGAAUCAAUCGUCGCAGAUUCAACGUGCGAAACACGCUGCCUCGAGAACGGAAUCGAAAACGAGCGGACAAUCGUCUGGAAUAUUCAAAGAAAUGACGAGCUUCAAAAGCUGCGACGAUAACGACGACGACACCUCGCUCUCGACCGUUGACAGCGACAGCUUCAAGGCCACCGACAUCGAGGAUAUCACUGAAAAAUUAGGUGCUAAAUUGAAUCUGUUGAAUGUCAAAUCCAACACCGAUUCUGGUCUCGAUCUCACCGCCAGCCCAGUCAUGGAAGACAGUUUAGACAAGAGCAGAAUCGACACCCAAUACGACGAGGACGACGACGAAGAAAUAAUCGUUCCGCCUCCACUGCCCCUCAUCGAACCCCUCAGCAAUGGCGUCAGUCGAGAAGUUUCCAUGGAAAGCCUUAAUCUAUCGCACAAGGACAUUAUACUACCGUCCAGACAUUCUGUCUCGUCCGAGGACGAAAUACUCGAAAUCGUCGAGGUCGAGGAUCUCGAACCCGUACCAAUGCAAGAUUCCUGCCUUCAAGUUACCGAGGAAGAUAUUGCACUUUGUAUGGGAGAGAAUCCGUUGCCGGAAAGUGAUCAAGAGGAGCAUCCUCUGAGGAUACUUAGCCAGGAAAAUCUCACCGUUGUUUCGACCUUCACUGACUCCAUGUCGGUGAUGUCGGACACGGAAAGAUACAGAUCGCACUAUCCGCCGUCCGUCGCUGCUGGUGUUCUGCCCCGGCCUUACUUCGACCACGAGGACUUCCUCGAGCAAGAGACCAGACACAAGUUCGACCAAUUGGCACGUCUUCACGAACUUUAUCAAAGCAAACUAGCCCUCGCAAACGUCUCUAAUUCGGCAACUUACCAGAGAGAGAACUCGUCUUCCGUUAGCGUUCGGGACACACCAUCUGCCACAGUCUUCCGUCCACCUUCUCGCUGUCAGUCGCUGUCGCUGUCAGAUGUUCUCUUUAACGACGCAGCGAGUAAUCACGGCAGUAUAUACAGCGAGCCAGCAUACAUAGCCGGCAAGAGCGACCAAGAGAAAAUAUGCGACAAUUGUCGUCAGAGUAUGUCACGUCCGGCAACAGCCUCGUACUGGUACCCAAGCAGCGUCGCUCAUCUCGCGAGUCCGCGACGAUAUUGCGGCAAACUCGGUGAAUGUAACAUCUCGAGUCUGAGACAUCCGGAUGGUGCAUCGAAUCCGAAUUUGAAGGAAGAAAUCGAGAGGAUACCUGGAAACGGUGCCUCGGGAUCGGAUCCUGAGGAGGAAUAUGUCGAAGCUAAAAAAUUGUUCACCACCGCCGAAAGGUCGGAAAGAACUGUCACCGGGAAAUCCGACAUCGAAGAAGAUGCGAAAAUUCCAGCGACCGUUCCCCUACAGCUGUCAAUUCCGUCCUCGGUCCCGUCCUCCGGACGUAUGCAGCGUAAAAUCCUUAGCCUCGGAUCAUCACUCGUUCUCAACAGGGAGGGAUCCGAUUCCGGGGCUGAUUCAACCCCUCGAGCUGCCAAAUUAUCGCCCGCUACACUUUCCCGACAUCGAGCCGAAAGCUCGGGCUACGAUAGCAUCCUCAGAGACAGUGAGACCAGCAGUAUAGCCAGCGAUUCGUCAAGACAUACCGGGGCUCUUCAGGAACAUCAAGGUGGUGCUCUGGGCGUUCUAACAUCGACGUUGUGCGGGUGUUUCAGCGGUGGUACGGCCGGUGGAAGGGUCAGGCCACCGGUUGCCACAGGCUCAUCCAAUUCCCGCGGGGAUUCUCGAAUACACAGACGAGGACGUGGAAAUACUGGAACGACGCGCACAACUACGCUCGGAUCCCCGUGGCACGAUGUCCAGGAUACACAACCUGCGGCUGCGCCAGCUCCUUCUUAGACUCGAACUCCGAGAAGCCAAGAAAAGACUCAUGGUCCCCGACGACCGCUGGAGCUACGAACUGCACGUUGAGGACAGCAUGGACUGGCGAGAUCCUUCGUUUCUCGAGGCGCUGGAAUCCGAAACGUUUAUACUGCAAAAAAGAGUCGAAGCAUGCAAAAGUCACGUACUAUUAGUGACAUGUUUCGAUUCUUGUC
rnacentral:misc_RNA from 1 species